AGUAAUGUCUGGGAAACUGCCUGAUGGAGGGGGGUAACUGCUGGAUACGGUAGCUAAUACCGCAUAACGUCGCAAGACCAAAGAGGGGGACCUUCGGGCCUCUUGCCAUCGGAUGUGCCCAGAUGGGAUUAGCUAGUAGGUGGGGUAACGGCUCACCUAGGCGACGAUCCCUAGCUGGUCUGAGAGGAUGGCCAGCCACACUGGAACUGAGACACGGUCCAG
rnacentral:rRNA from 1 species